rnacentral:rRNA from 1 species
CUUGGUCAUUUAGAGGAAGUAAAAGUUGUUGUGACCCUCCGGAUCGGGCCGAAGUCAUGGGAGGCAAGAGGAAUGGGGGUGGCGUCCGAUGCUCGUGAAUCCUUGACAACCUGUGACUUCAGAGGGGGAGGGUGGCAAAAGAAGGGAGGCGUGUUUACCGCGUCCUACACUACGGGCCCAUGUUUUGCUAGUAACUAGAUAAUUGAGUUGCGUGAGAAUUGGCAGGUACUGCUACAACUUUCAUCUUCGGAUGACUCUGCUCUGGCGUAUCUCUCGAUCGAAUCGACAUGCAAUAAGUAAUGUGAAUUGCAUAAGUCAUUGAAACAGAAAUCUUUAACAGCGAACCGCCCUCCCCCUCAUGCCCAUUCCCAGGAUCGUGUCUGUGUCUUGAAAAUGUCAUCCUCGGGGGUGUUCUUUUUAGCGACCGCCGGGGCUUGGAUGUGGGGACCUUUGACGGCCCGUGGGGGGCCUACUUCCUGGAGAUGCAUCAACUCUACCGAUCACACCCACCCUCUCUGGGAUGUGAUAAGUAAAUGAAGAUUACGAUUUGUUUCAUUGCUUUCCUGCUGUCUUGUUGUUCUCAGUUUUCUUACGUCCGACUGACAAAAUCACUACUAGGAAUACCCCGCUCAAAUCAGGCAGAACAACCCGCUGAACUUAAGCAUAUCAGUAAGCGGAGGA